rnacentral:tRNA from 1 species
GUCAAUAUAGUUUAAUAAAAACAUCAGACUGUGAAUCUGAAAAUAGGAUAUUAAUUCUCCUUAUUUACC